GAUGAACGCUGGCGGCGUGCCUAAUACAUGCAAGUCGAGCGAACGGACGAGAAGCUUGCUUCUCUGAUGUUAGCGGCGGACGGGUGAGUAACACGUGGAUAACCUACCUAUAAGACUGGGAUAACUUCGGGAAACCGGAGCUAAUACCGGAUAAUAUUUUGAACCGCAUGGUUCAAAAGUGAAAGACGGUCUUGCUGUCACUUAUAGAUGGAUCCGCGCUGCAUUAGCUAGUUGGUAAGGUAACGGCUUACCAAGGCAACGAUGCAUAGCCGACCUGAGAGGGUGAUCGGCCACACUGGAACUGAGACACGGUCCAGACUCCUACGGGAGGCAGCAGUAGGGAAUCUUCCGCAAUGGGCGAAAGCCUGACGGAGCAACGCCGCGUGAGUGAUGAAGGUCUUCGGAUCGUAAAACUCUGUUAUUAGGGAAGAACAUAUGUGUAAGUAACUGUGCACAUCUUGACGGUACCUAAUCAGAAAGCCACGGCUAACUACGUGCCAGCAGCCGCGGUAAUACGUAGGUGGCAAGCGUUAUCCGGAAUUAUUGGGCGUAAAGCGCGCGUAGGCGGUUUUUUAAGUCUGAUGUGAAAGCCCACGGCUCAACCGUGGAGGGUCAUUGGAAACUGGAAAACUUGAGUGCAGAAGAGGAAAGUGGAAUUCCAUGUGUAGCGGUGAAAUGCGCAGAGAUAUGGAGGAACACCAGUGGCGAAGGCGACUUUCUGGUCUGUAACUGACGCUGAUGUGCGAAAGCGUGGGGAUCAAACAGGAUUAGAUACCCUGGUAGUCCACGCCGUAAACGAUGAGUGCUAAGUGUUAGGGGGUUUCCGCCCCUUAGUGCUGCAGCUAACGCAUUAAGCACUCCGCCUGGGGAGUACGACCGCAAGGUUGAAACUCAAAGGAAUUGACGGGGACCCGCACAAGCGGUGGAGCAUGUGGUUUAAUUCGAAGCAACGCGAAGAACCUUACCAAAUCUUGACAUCCUUUGACAACUCUAGAGAUAGAGCCUUCCCCUUCGGGGGACAAAGUGACAGGUGGUGCAUGGUUGUCGUCAGCUCGUGUCGUGAGAUGUUGGGUUAAGUCCCGCAACGAGCGCAACCCUUAAGCUUAGUUGCCAUCAUUAAGUUGGGCACUCUAAGUUGACUGCCGGUGACAAGCCGGAGGAAGGUGGGGAUGACGUCAAAUCAUCAUGCCCCUUAUGAUUUGGGCUACACACGUGCUACAAUGGACAAUACAAAGGGCAGCGAAACCGCGAGGUCAAGCAAAUCCCAUAAAGUUGUUCUCAGUUCGGAUUGUAGUCUGCAACUCGACUACAUGAAGCCGGAAUCGCUAGUAAUCGUAGAUCAGCAUGCUACGGUGAAUACGUUCCCGGGUCU
rnacentral:rRNA from 1 species